AACGAACGCUGGCGGCAGGCCUAACACAUGCAAGUCGAACGCCCCGCAAGGGGAGUGGCAGACGGGUGAGUAACGCGUGGGAACCUACCCAGUGGUACGGAACAACCCAGGGAAACUUGGGCUAAUACCGUAUACGCCCUUAGGGGGAAAGAUUUAUCGCAAUUGGACGGGCCCGCGUUGGAUUAGCUAGUUGGUGGGGUACCGGCCUACCAAGGCAACGAUCCAUAGCUGGUCUGAGAGGAUGAUCAGCCACACUGGGACUGAGACACGGCCCAGACUCCUACGGGAGGCAGCAGUGGGGAAUCUUGGACAAUGGGCGCAAGCCUGAUCCAGCCAUGCCGCGUGAGUGAAGAAGGCCCUAGGGUUGUAAAGCUCUUUCGGCGGGGACGAUAAUGACGGUACCCGCAGAAGAAGCCCCGGCUAACUCCGUGCCAGCCGCCGCCGUAACAC
rnacentral:rRNA from 1 species